GAGCCGCACUCGGUGGCAGGUGAUCAAAGUGGUCCGACACAAUUGGAGCUUGCUAUGGCCACACGCAGUCUAACCUAUUCUCGUGCUCUCUCCUCUGUGAGACAAGCCAUCAUAUAGAUUUAGACAGA